rnacentral:rRNA from 1 species
CGCACGGGUGAGUAACACGUGAGUGACCUGCCUUUUAGACUGGAACAACUUACCGAAAGGUGAGCUAAUGCCGGAUGAGUUAUAUAAGUGCAUGUUUAUAUAGGAAAAGUUGGGGAGACCUGACGCUGAAAGAUGGACUCGCGUCCCAUUAGCUAGUUGGUAGGGUAAUGGCCUACCAAGGCGACGAUGGGUAGCCGGCCUGAGAGGGUGGACGGCCACAUUGGGACUGAGACACGGCCCAAACUCCUACGGGAGGCAGCAG